rnacentral:rRNA from 1 species
GUGCAGCAGGCGCGAAACCUCCGCAAUACACGAAAGUGUGACGGGGCCAUCCCGAGUGCCGUCCGCUGAGGACGGCUUUUCCCCAGUGUACACAGCUGGGGGAAUAAGGAGAGGGCAAGCCUGGUGUCAGCCGCCGCGGUAAUACCAGCUCUCCGAGUGGUGGGGACGCUUAUUGGGCCUAAAGCAUCCGUAGCCGGCUGGGCAAGCCCUCCGUUAAAUCCAACGAUUCAAUCGUUGGGCUGCGGGGGAUACUGUCCAGCUUGGGGGCGGGAGAGGCCGACGGUAUUCCCGGGGUAGGGGUGAAAUCCUAUAAUCCCGGGAGGACCACCAGUGGCGAAGGCUGUCGGCUAGAACGCGCCCGACGGUGAGGGAUGAAAGCUGGGGGAGCGAACCGGAUUAGAUACCCGCGUAGU